AGAUAUAGGCAGAGUAGGCUUCCAGAAGGGCGCUACCCAACGCAACUUCUAAGCAAUGGCGAAGCACUCUUUUUCGAUCGUAGAGGUAUUGUUGGUGAUAGACGGUGGAGGCGCGUACGAGGCUUUCCAGGCAGGGAGGUCCAUCGCAGAAAGGAUUGAAAUCCGGAUCUCAGGAGGGAGCCCUUCAAGACUACAAGUCAUAUCUACGCGUCUUGUGCACUAACGGUAUAUAUUCUUUUGAUGACAGGUGCUAUGAUUUAUACUAUCGACAUAAGAAACAUUGUGCUCGAGAAAGCCCUAUACCCUGCAAUUCAGCAUCGCAAGAACUAAUGUAUCUUGAAAGGACAUCAUUAUCUAUCCAACUUGGCCAGUUCACAGCAUCAAAGUUGUCCGAAAUGUAUUCUUCCGGAUAAGUAUCAUAGCUUCGAAGCUUUCGAAAUCGGUGGGUGUACGGGGGAACCCAUCCGGUGUAUCAGGAUCGUUGGACCACUCCAGGGAGGGAAGAGGAGGGAUAUCUAAAUCAUUUUCCUGGAGUAUAUUGGGUAGAGCCAUCGGAUUCUUAUAGGAACGACGUGGAAUCGCAGUAAGUGAAAAUUGCCUUCAGCUAGAGUGACGUUUAUUUUGGAGGUAACAAUGCUGCAUCUCAGUUACCGUGUUCUGCUGGUUGGUGGAGUGAGUGCGUCGAAGCGUUUCAGGCCUUCAGCGAGGUAAAGAGCGAGCUCGGGCAAAGUUAGUGCUAGAAUCAACACGUAAUGGCCGUUGACUUACCUGUGGGUCAUUUGUUCCUUGUCUGCGUCAAGACUCAACUAUGAAGGCUCAGUUAUUGCGUGAAAAUAAUGAAGGGCACACUCUUACCAUCGAUAGUGCGCGAAGUCUAUUGGAUACAUGUUAAAGCCAAGAGAUAAUGAUGCCUCUGGUUGUUUGUACUGUUUUACUAUAUAUAACUUGUUAUGUCUGUUCGUAAUUUAUGACUAACUUCUCGCAGGUGUAAAGUAAGUUCAAUGAACA
rnacentral:lncRNA from 1 species